CGGUUGACGGUUGACGGUUGACGGUGAGCAGGCUAUGCGUACAGUCCAAGCAUGGAGUGAUCGAGUUGGCGUUGAGGUUGCGACAUCGUUGACAAGACAUCGUUGAUGAUGCUGAAAGGCAGACUUGCUCGUAGUCGCCCUCCUCUUAUACCAGCUGGUGAACAUAAGAUACGCAAGUACAAUUAAGUAUUUGGGUAUCCAUAUGAAGGAUAGAUUGAAUUUUCUGGUGCACCUCGAUCAUCUUAAGGAGAAGCUAACUAGAGUGGUGGGAAUGGUUAGGCGUGUUUUGCGGACUGAUUGGGGCUUGAGCAGGCGUUCUGUGCGUACCAUAUAUGGUGGACUGUUUUUUGCUUGUGCAACUUAUGGGGCUCCUGUGUGUAAAAAGCUCCUGUCGUGUCAGCGGGUCGUCAUGCUAGCGUGUUUACCUGUGCAGGUCUGUGUCCACAAAUGCACUGCAGGUGCUGCUUGUCGCCGUGCCGCAUGAUCUGGAAGUGAAAUGUAGGGCUAUUCUGUAUAAGCUGAAGCGUGGUUUGCAGCUGAAUGAGGAUGAGAACUGGCGCAGCCCUUCUGAUCUGGUGGAUGGGGAUAGUAGGCGGUACAAGGCGCUCCUCCGGCAGUGCGUUGUUAAUUUUUGGAAUACAAAGUGGACGAACAGUGACAAGGAAAGGGUGACGUACGAAUUUAUUCGUGACGCAACGUUCGUACUGGACCGGCUAGACUUUCGCUACCCGUGAGGGUAGUCCUGUUUAUUGUUUGUGUUGUGUAGUCCGUUGCCCCGGUCCCAGUGGACCCAUUGUGCAGUCCGUGAGGACAGCAUGUUAAUUGUCGUGUUUUGAGUGCGUGUUCUCUGCUGAUUUUCUGUUGGUGGGUGACCAGUCCCGGACUGUUUGGAGUUCAACUGGUAGUAGCGUUGCUACGAAGCCUGACCGGAGGCUAUAUUCUGGUACCGUAGGUGCCAACUGCCUCUAGAUCUUCGGAUCUAGCCUGGCAGUUGGUGUUGGCCCCCUUGUGGGAGCGACCGGUCGCCUGACCCAUAGAAAGGCAGGAGUUAGAUAUGCUCCGCUCCUAACCAAGGAGGCGAUCACGUCCUAAUAACGUGCGAGCGAAUUGGUACUCACUUUUGUGGGGGCGUUGGUAGACGCAUUGUAUUCACCCGGUGCUAAGACCACUGUGAGAUAGACCACAAGGUAGGUGCUGACAUAAAACAACCCAGAGGUAUGUCCCUUUCUACUAUCUAGCGAAGCCACAGCCAAGGGAACGGGCUUGGAAUAAUUAGCGGGGAAAGAAGACCCUGUUGAGCUUGACUCUAAUCUGGCAGUGUAAGGAGACAUAAGAGGUGUAGAAUAAGUGGGAGAUAUGUUUUCGGUUGUUUUCCUUACUUACAUGAUUAAGUGGAACGUGUAUCAUUUCUUAGCCAUUAUACGGACAUAUUUAUAUGUCUUAUGGUAUUGGGUUUUGAUGCAGGUUUCUUGAUCAAAGUACUAAGAGUUUGUUAUAUAAUUGUAAACAAAUUUCGAUGAGAUGAUGGCAUUUCGGUGUUAUUGUCAAUAUUUGAAAUUUGGUAUAACUCCCAUGACUCAGGUAUGAUCCAAUUCAUGGUCAUUGUCAGGUAGGGAGUUUGACUGGGGCGGUACAUUUCUCAAAUAAUAACGAAGGUGUCCGAAGGCCAGCUCAGUGCGGACAGAAACCACACAUAGAGCAAAAGGGCAAAUAACUGGCUUGUGGCGGGCAAGCGUUUAUGGCGACGUCGCUUUUUGAUCCUUCGAUGUCGGCUCUUCCUAUCAUUGUGAAGCAAAAUUCACCAAGCGUUGGAUUGUUCACCCAUGCAAGGGAACGUGAGCUGGGUUUAGACCGCCGUGAGGCAGGUUAGUUUUACCCUACUAAUAACAAUAUGUUGUUACGACAGCAUUCCUGCGUAGUACGAGAGGAACCGCAGGUACGGACCUAUGGCACAAUACUUGUUCGAGCGAACAGUGGUAUGACGCUACGUCCGUUGGAUUAUGCCUGAACGCCUCUAAGGUCGUAUCCGAGCUGGACUGCAAUGAUUAAUAUGGGGCAAUUGCAUUGUAUGGCUCUUAAACCAUUUAAAGUUUAUUUCUGAUAAACGACAAUGGAUGUGAUGCUAAUGUUAUUUGUAACAUAGCAAACGUAGAAGGAUACUAUCACCUGCAUGCCGGUAUAGUUACU
rnacentral:rRNA from 1 species